AUGGCUCAGGAUGAACGCUAGCUACAGGCUUAACACAUGCAAGUCGAGGGGCAGCAUGUUGGUUGCUUGCAACCAAUGAUGGCGACCGGCGCACGGGUGAGUAACGCGUAUCCAACCUUCCCCUUAGUAGAGGAUAGCCCGGCGAAAGUCGGAUUAAUACUCUAUGUUCUUCAAUGCGGACAUCUAAGUUGAAGCAAAGAUUUAUCGCUAAGGGAUGGGGAUGCGUCUGAUUAGGUUGCAGGCGGGGUAACGGCCCACCUGGCCUACGAUCAGUAGGGGUUCUGAGAGGAAGGUCCCCCACACUGGUACUGAGACACGGACCAGACUCCUACGGGAGGCAGCAGUGAGGAAUAUUGGUCAAUGGGCGCGAGCCUGAACCAGCCAAGUAGCGUGCAGGGAACCGACUGCCCUAUGGGUUGUAAACUGUCUUUUAUCAGGGAAUAAAGUGAGGCACGCGUGCCUUUUUGUAUGUACCUGAUGAAUAAGGACCGGCUAAUUCCGUGCCAGCCGCAGC
rnacentral:rRNA from 1 species